rfam:Schistosoma mansoni strain Puerto Rico chromosome 3, complete genome
AUCCAGCUGACGAGUCCCAGAUGGGACGGAACAUGCGUCCUGGAU